rnacentral:lncRNA from 1 species
CGGGCGGAACAGGGCGGAGCUGCAGCCGCCUCAGAGGCUUGUGUAAUCCAGAAGUUCAAAAGUCAAGGCUGCCUCAUCCCGGCCUGGUGGGUAUUGCAUGGCUGAACAUCUGGGAAUGCUGUUCUAUGCUGUCUCGUGAGUCAGAGGAUGAGAAGAUGGGCCCCAGGUGUCUUGCAGUCCACUGCACCUUAAAGAUUGCUGACACUAAUCCACCUAGCACCGUGCUGUCAAGUCGGAUGACUCCAGGGAAGCUGCUGAUGUAAAGCAUAAACAGCCCAAGGGAGAUAACUGUGCUUAGUGAUAAAAAUGCACAGUUUUCCUAGAAUUAUAAUUUAUUCCAGAAUUUCCUUCCAGAGCAUGUCCUGGUAAAUGACUUAGAUUUGAGUGAAAAAUAAACUGAAAGUGAAAGAAAAUGAAAUGGUAAUAUGAAUUAAAAUGUCUGAAAUG